rnacentral:rRNA from 1 species
GACGAACGCUGGCGGCGUGCUUAACACAUGCAAGUCGAACGGAAAGGCCCUGCUUUUGUGGGGUGCUCGAGUGGCGAACGGGUGAGUAACACGUGAGUAACCUGUCCUUGACUUUGGGAUAACUUCAGGAAACUGGGGCUAAUAUCGGAUAGGAGCUCCUGCUGCAUGGUGGGGGUUGGAAAGUUUCGGCGGUUGGGGAUGGACUCGCGGCUUAUCAGCUUGUUGGUGGGGUAGUGGCUUACCAAGGCUUUGACGGGUAGCCGGCCUGAGAGGGUGACCGGCCACAUUGGGACUGAGAUACGGCCCAGACUCCUACGGGAGGCAGCAGUGGGGAAUAUUGCGCAAUGGGCGGAAGCCUGAUACAGCAACGCCGCGUGCGGGAUGACGGCCUUCGGGUUGUAAACCGCUUUCGCCUGUGACGAAGCGUGAGUGACGGUAAUGAGUAAAGAAGCACCGGCUAACUACGUG